GACGAACGCUGGCGGCGUGCUUAACACAUGCAAGUCGAACGGAAAGGCCCUGCUUUUGUUGGGUGCUCGAUUGGCGAACGGGUGAGUAACACGUGAGUAACCUGCCCUUGACUUUGGGAUAACUUCAGGAAACUGGGGCUAAUACCGCAUAUGAUCUCCUGCUGCAUGGUGGUGGUUGGAAAGUUUCGGCGGUUGGGGAUGUACUCGCGGCUUAUCAGCUUGUUGGUGUGGUAGUGGCUUACCAAGGCUUUGACGGGUAGCCGGCCUGACAGGGUGACCGGCCACAUUGGGACUGAGGUACGGCCAAGACUCAUACGGGAGGAAGGAGUGGGGAAUAUAGCACAAUGGGCGGAAGCAUGAUGGAGCAACGCCGCGUGCGGGAUGACGGCCUUCGGGUUGUAAACAGCUUUCGAGUGUGACGAAGCGUGAGUGAGGGUAAUGGGUAAAGAAGCACCGGCUAACUACGU
rnacentral:rRNA from 1 species